GAAAAACCCGUCUCCGGCGCCAAAUCAUGUCCGGCAAAUCCCGAAACUUCCGCCGUCGUGGCGGUGACGACGGCGACGAUGAUGAAACCGCCACUAAGUCCACCAACGGUACCGCUGCUAAACCUACGACCACCGCUUCCGCUUCCGCCGCCAAACCCAAAAAGAAAAGUCUACUUAGUUUCGCCGACGACGAAGAGUCCGACGAUACUCCCUUCGUUCGGCCUUCCUCCAAACCCUCAUCUGCUUCUUCGCGAAUCACGAAACCCUCUUCGUCAUCUUCUGCGCACAAGCUUACUUCUGGAAAAGACCGAAUUACCCCUAAACCUACUUCAUUCACCUCCAAUGUACAACCUCAAGCUGGGACUUACACCAAGGAAGCUCUCCUUGAGCUCCAGAAGAACACUAGAACCUUAGUUGGUUCUCGCUCUUCCCAACCCAAACCAGAACCCAGGCCUGGGCCCGUUGAGCCAGUUAUAGUUUUGAAAGGGCUUGUGAAACCGCCAUUUAGUGUGAGUGCCCAAACUCAGCAAAAUGGGAAAGAGAGUGAAGAUGACGAAAUGGAUGUUGAUCAAUUUGGUGGUACUGUUAAUAGGUUGGGUUCAAUGGCAUUGGAGAAGGAUUCGAGGAAGAAAGAUGAUGUUGGGUCAGUAAUACCUGAUAAGAUGACUAUUGAUGCAAUAAGGGCUAAGAGGGAGAGGCUACGUCAAGCUAGGCCUGCGGCUCAGGACUUUAUAGCAUUGGAUGAAGGAGGUAAUCAUGGUGAAGCUGAGGGGUUGAGUGAUGAGGAGCCGGAGUUUCAGCAGAGAAUUGGGUUCUAUGGGGAGAAGAUUGGUAGUGGGAGAAAGGGUGUGUUUGAGGAUUUUGACGAUAAGGCACUGCAGAAAGAUGGUGGAUUUCGUAGCGAUGAUGAUGAGGAAGAUGAGGAGGACAAAAUGUGGGAGGAAGAGCAGGUUAGAAAGGGGUUAGGAAAAAGGUUGGAUGAUGGGUCUAACAGAGGGGUGAUGAGUAGUGUUGUAAGCAGUGCAGCUGCAGUUCAGAAUGCUCAGAAGGCGAAUUUUGGAAGUUCAGCCGUAGGAGCUAGUGUAUAUUCCUCAGUACAAAGUAUUGAUGUUUCUGAUGGUCCUACUAUUAGAGGAGGAGUGGUUGGAGGCUUGCCCAGUUUGGAUGCAUUAUCAAUUUCUAAGAAGGCUGAGGUUGCUAAGAAAGCCUUGUAUGAGAGCAUGGGAAGACUCAAAGAAUCCCAUGGCCGAACUGUGACAUCAUUGCACAAGACUGAAGAAAAUUUGUCUGCCUCAUUGUCGAAAGUCACUACACUGGAAAAUUCUUUGUCUGCUGCUGGUGAGAAGUACAUGUUUAUGCAAAAGCUUCGCGACUUUGUUUCUGUUAUUUGUGCGCUUUUGCAGGAUAAAGGUCCUUACAUUGAGGAACUUGAAGACCAA
rnacentral:misc_RNA from 1 species